rnacentral:rRNA from 1 species
UACGUAGGGGGCAAGCGUUGUCCGGAAUCACUGGGCGUAAAGCGCACGUAGGCGGAUGUGUCAGUCAGGGGUGAAAUCCCGGAGCUCAACUUCGGAACUGCCUUUGAUACAGCACGUCUUGAGUCCGAUAGAGGUGGGUGGAAUUCCUAGUGUAGAGGUGAAAUGCGUAGAUAUCGGGAGGAACACCUGUGGCGAAGGCGGCCCCCUGGUUGGAUACUGACGCUGAGACGCGAAAGCGUGGGGAGCAAACAGG